rnacentral:lncRNA from 1 species
AUGAAGCUGAGAGUAAAAUGGUGGUAACCAGAGGUUGAUGCGAAGGGCGGAUGGAGAAAAAAGGGACAUAAGUCAAAGAGUAUAAAGAUUCAGUUAGGGUACAACUUUUAUUAUUUGAGGUCACGACAGUGAGUCCCUACUAAGGCAAAGCCUACGAGCCCUGGGAAUGGGACUGCCACUGGAACCACGAAACUGUGGAAUCACUGGCAGCAUGCCAGACUUGCCUAGGAAAACUUCAGGCACUGGACUUCAACACUUUGUGAAGAAGGUCCUUGCUUUGCCAUCACCUUCUGCCAUGACUGGAAGUUUCCUGAAGCCUCCCCAGCCAUGUAAAACUGCUUAAUGAGAAGUCCAACAAAAGAGAGAGAGAGGGAGAGAAAGAGAAUGGUAUGGUGUGUGUUCCUGUAAAGUCUCAGGCAUCGCUUCGCAAACCUUUACCAGUUUGAAUAAUUUUGUAUAUAACUUAAACCCUAGUUCUAGCUAUAUGAACUAGGCAUGAUAAAAGUAUAUUUACAAAAAGAAAUGCUGUUUCAUUGAAACUUUUCUGCCUAUAUGUUUAUAGUCCAAGUUGUGUCACAGGAGAAUGCUAACUUGCAGACUAUGUUUACACCAUUUGUCCUUUAGGAACUUUUAUUUUGCUGCAAACCACAACAACUUUGUAAUGGGCACUUCUGAAUCAUACAUAUUUGUUCCACGGAACACUAUGUGCUGCAGGAGACUUUAGCCACCUGAGAAGCUCAAAACUGAUGAAACUUUGAACCCACACUCAUCUUUCAACCAGAAAAUGCUCAUUUUCAAUGUUAAACUUCUAAGUAAGAUUGUUUGAAAACACAAUUUUGCUGAUAAAGUAAAUUACUUUUUAAAAAUUGCUAUAGCAAAUGGAGUAUUCUAUCAGUUGGCUACUAAAAUUGAAUAUCAUUUGAAAAUAAAUGCUAUGCUUAAAUUUCUUCAGGAUACCAGUAUUUUUAUUUUAUGUUAUUCAAGGGAGCAAAACUCAUUUUUCUAGAAUUAAAAAAAAUCCAAGAAAGGAAUUCCAUUUUUGAAAUGAUCUGAAUUUACGUAACUCUAUAAUAAAA